rnacentral:rRNA from 1 species
CUUAUUAGAGGGACAAGUGGCGUCAGCCACCCGAGAUUGAGCAAUAACAGG